rnacentral:rRNA from 1 species
GGUCAAGUUACUAAGGGCGCACGGUGGAUGCCUUGGCGAAGAGAGGCGAUGAAGGACGUGGCUGACUGCGAUAAGCCUCGGGGAGCCGUGAGCAGGCUUCGAUCCGGGGAUUUCCGAAUGGGGCAACCCGGUGAGUCAAUAACUCACCAUUCGUUACUGAACUCAUAGGUAACGGAAGCAAACUCGGGGAAGUGAACCAUCUCAGUACCCGAAGGAACAGAAAGCAAAAUUGCGACUCCCCUAGUAGCGGCGAGCGAACGGGGAUGAGCCCAAACCGCGUGCGGCGUAGCCGCGCAGGGUGUUUUUCGCACGCGGGGUUGUGGGAUCCGACGUGACCUCUGCGAACAGGUCAGGGAGUUACAAAUCGACACGUUAGCUGAACCAGUGUUGGAAAACCUGGCGAUACAGGGUGAUAGCCCCGUAGGCGAAAGCGUUGUUCGACUCCCCGUUGGACUCCCGAGUACCACGGGACACGUGAAACCCUGUGGGAAGCUGGGGGGACCAUCCUCCAAGGCUAAGUACUACUCUUCGACCGAUAGUGAACCAGUACCGUGAGGGAAAGGUGAAAAGAACCUCGACUAGAGGAGUGAAACAGUCCCUGAAACCGUGUGUCUACAAGCAGUGGGAGAGCUAUGGGCGGCUUCGGCCGCCGACGACGCUCGACCGCGUGCCUUUUGCAUAAUGAGCCGGCUAGUUAUUCUCAGUGGCAAGGUUAAGUUUCAAAGCGAGCCGUAGCGAAAGCGAGUCUGAAUAGGGCGUCGAGUCGCUGGGAAUAGACGCGAAGCGAGGUGAUCUAUCCUUGGCCAGGGUGAAGGACGGGUAACGCCGUCUGGAGGCCCGAACCAGUGUGGGAUGCAAUCCGCUUGGAUGAGCUGAGGAUAGGGGUGAAAGGCCAAUCAAACCUCGUGAUAGCCCGUUCUCCUCGAAAUAGCUUUAGGGCUAGCCUCGGGAGGUCGGUCGUGGCCGUAGAGCACUGGAUGGACUAGGGGGCCCACAAGCUUACUGAAUCCAACCAAACUCCGAAGACCAUGAAUCCGUAUCCCGGGAGUCAGACUGCGGGGGCUAAGCUCCGUAGUCGAAAGGGAAACAGCCCAGACCGCCAGCUAAGGUCCCCAAACACAGACUAAGUGGGAAAGGAUCUGAAGACGCUCAGACAGCCAGGAGGUUGGCUUAGAGGCAGCCAUCCUUUAAAGAAAGCGUAACAGCUCACUGGUCGAGCGGCUUCGGGCCGAUAAUUUAACGGGGCUCAAGUCUGUUACCGAAGCUGCGGAGUGCCAUUUUUUGGCAUUGGUAGAGGAGCGUUCCAUGGGGGUUGAAGUCGGACCGUGAGGACCGAUGGACCGCAUGGAAGUGACCCUGCCGGCAUAAGUAACGUCAUCCAGGUGAGAACCCUGGACGCCGAAUAUCCAAGGUUUCCUAGGGAAGGUCAGUCCGCCCUGGGUUAGUCGGACUCUAAGGCGAGGCCGAAAGGCGUAGUCGAUGAGAAGCAGGUCAACAUUCCUGCACCACCUUGGAAGCGUUUGAGUGAUGUGGUGACGCAGACAGAUAGGCCUACGCCCGAUUGGAUUGGGGCGGCCGUUGCUCAAGAUGGGGAUCCAGGCAAAUCCGGAUCCCGUGAUUCAAGAGUUGCGGGGAAGCGCGUCUUCGGACAAGCCAACUGGUUGGCUCUGGCUGCCAAGAAAAACCUCUAGCGAGUUUCCGGGUGUCCGUACCGUAAACCGACACUGGUGGAUAAGGAGAGAAUCCUAAGGCGCAAGUGAGAACCCUCGUUUAGGAACUCGGCAAAAUAGCUCCGUAACUUCGGGAGAAGGAGUGCCUCGGUAGGGUGUAAAAGCCCGAGGAGGCCGCAGUGAAGUGGCCUGGGCGACUGUUUACCAAAAACACAGGACUCUGCUAAGUCGCAAGACGAUGUAUAGGGUCUGACGCCUGCCCGGUGCCGGGAGGUUAAGAGGAGGGGUUAGCUUUCGGGCGAAGCUCUGAAUCGAAGCCCCGGUAAACGGCGGCCGUAACUAUGACGGUCCUAAGGUAGCGAAAUUCCUUGUCGGGUAAGNNNNNNNNNNUCGGGUAAGUUCCGACCUGCACGAAUGGCGCAACGAUCUGGGCGCUGUCUCAACGGGGGACACUGUGAAAUUGUAAUGCCGGUGAAGAUGCCGGCUACCCGCGACAAGACGGAAAGACCCCGUGAACCUUUACUAUAACCUGGCAGUGAAUUCUGGUGCGUUGUGCGCAGAAUAGGUGGGAGGCUUUGAACUCAGAGCUCCGGCUCUGGGGGAGCCAUUCGUGAGAUACCACUCUCAUCGUUCUGGAGUUCUAACCUGGGCCCGUGAAUCCGGGUCAGGGACACUGUCAGGCGGGUAGUUUGACUGGGGCGGUCGCCUCCCAAAAUGUAACGGAGGCUCCCUAAGGUGCGCUCAGGCUGAUUGGAAACCAGCCGCAGAGUGUAAAGGCACAAGCGCGCUUGACUGCGAGACCUACAAGUCGAGCAGAUGGGAAACCAGGGCUUAGUGAUCCGGCGGUUCCGAAUGGAAGGGCCGUCGCUCAAAGGAUAAAAGGUACUCCGGGGAUAACAGGCUUAUCUAGCCCAAGAGUUCAUAUCGACGGCUAGGUUUGGCACCUCGAUGUCGGCUCAUCGCAUCCUGGAGCUGAAACAGGUUCCAAGGGUUGGGCUGUUCGCCCAUUAAAGCGGUACGCGAGCUGGGUUCAGAACGUCGUGAGACAGUUCGGUCCUCAUCUGUCGUGGGCGCAGGAGAUUUGAGGGGAGCUGGCCCUAGUACGAGAGGACCGGGCUGGACGAACCUCUGAUGUACGAGUUGUUCCGCCUCGGGGCAUUGCUCGGUAGUCACGUUCGGACGGGAUAAGCGCUGAAAGCAUCUAAGCGCGAAGCCCCACCCAAGAUGAGAUCUCCCGGAUCAUCAGAUCCCUGAAGGCCCCUGGAAGACCACCAGGUUGAUAGGCCCGGAGUGUAAGGCGAGUAAUCGUCUCAGCUGACGGGUACUAAUCGGCCGUGAGGCUUGACCAC